GACGUAGGUGGCGAACGUUAUCCGGAAUUAUUGGGCGUAAAGGAUGCGUAGAUGGUGUAGUAAGUUAUCGGUGGCAAAUCGAGGCUCAACCUCGUGGAAGUCGGUAAUACUGCUAUGCUAGAGGAUAGGAGAGGUUAACGGAACUCCCUGUGGAGCGGUGAAAUGCGUAGAUAUAGGGAAGAACACCAAAUCAGGCGAAGGCAGUUAACUAUUCUAUUCCUGACAUUUGAGGCAUGAAAAGCGUGGGG
rnacentral:rRNA from 1 species